UACGUAUGGUGCAAGCGUUAUCCGGAUUUACUGGGUGUAAAGGGAGCGCAGGCGGCACGGCAAGCCUGAUGUGAAAGCCCGCGGCCCAACUGCGGGACUGCAUUGGGAACUACCGGGCUGGAGUGCCGGAGAGGUAGGCGGAAUUCCUAGUGUAGCGGUGAAAUGCGUAGAUAUUAGGAGGAACACCAGUGGCGAAGGCGGCCUACUGGACGGUGACUGACGCUGAGGCUCGAAAGCGUGGGGAGCAAACAGG
rnacentral:rRNA from 1 species